rnacentral:lncRNA from 1 species
GAUUUUAAAAUAAGGGUAAAAAUAAAAAUAGUGUGAGAUACUAUUUUUAUUGGACUUAUAGAAAUAAAAUAUAAGUCAGGAUCGACUCGUGCGGAAAUCGGAGCGAGAAUAGAAGAUUUUGAAUUUUCUGUGUGAAUCGAGGCUAUUAUUUUAGCAGAAAAUGCAAAGUGUCAGAAAAUUUCAAAAAUCUGAAAAAAUGUUAGGAUUAUUUUUAUGAGGCUAGAUUUAAAGUUUCAUGACAUUCUGACACCCGGAAGGUGGGAAAUUAAAUUCGACUGCUAUCUGCUAAAGAUUACAGUUCGGUAGAGCUUUCGGUAUCCAAACGUGGUCGAAACUGAAAACUUAAGAUAAAUU